GACGAACGCUGGCGGCGUGCUUAACACAUGCAAGUCGAGCGGAGCGGCGAACGGGUGAGUAACGCGUGAGUAACUGCCCCCCUCUCUGUGAUAACAGUUGGAAACGGCUGCUCAUACCGGAUAGUGGGGGUUGACUCGCGUCCUAUCAGCUUGUUGGUGGGGUAGGGGCCUACCAAGGCGACGACGGGUAGCCGGCCUGAGAGGGCGACCGGCCACAUUGGUCUGAGAUACGGCCCAAACGCCGACGGGAGGCAGCAGUGGGGAAUAUGGCACAAUGGGGGAAACCCUGAUGCAGCAACGCCGCGUGCGGGAUGACGGCCUGCGGGGUGUAAACCGCUUUCAGCCAUGACGCGGUAGUUGCAGAAGAAGCACCGGCUAACUACGUGCCAGCAGCCGCGGUAAUAC
rnacentral:rRNA from 1 species